rnacentral:rRNA from 1 species
UGGGGAAUAUUGCACAAUGGGCGCAAGCCUGAUGCAGCCACGCCGCGUGUAUGAAGAAGGCCUUCGGGUUGUAAAGUACUUUCAGCGAGGAGGAAGGCGUUGUGGUUAAUAACCGCAACGAUUGACGUUACUCGCAGAAGAAGCACCGGCUAACUCCGUGCCAGCAGCCGCGGUAAUACGGAGGGUGCAAGAGUUAAUCGGAAUUACUGGGCGUAAAGCGCACGCAGGCGGUCUGUCAAGUCGGAUGUGAAAUCCCCGGGCUCAACCUGGGAACUGCAUCCGAAACUGGCAGGCUAGAGUCUUGUAGAGGGGGGUAGAAUUCCAGGUGUAGCGGUGAAAUGCGUAGAGAUCUGGAGGAAUACCGGUGGCGAAGGCGGCCCCCUGGACAAAGACUGACGCUCAGGUGCGAAAGCGUGGGGAGCAAACA